UUGUCCCCUUGAAUUUCCCUGAACACUUCAUUAGCAAUUCCUUAGGUUUCACUGACACCAGUGAGGCCCUAUAGUUAGCCAUAUUGAAGUGUUUGGGGGAACUCUAGGAGCCAU
rfam:Glycine soja cultivar W05 scaffold3294_42, whole genome shotgun sequence.